GACGAACGCUGGCGGCGUGCCUAAUACAUGCAAGUCGAGCGAGUCUUUAGGAGCUUGCUCCUGAAGGUUAGCGGCGGACGGGUGAGUAACACGUGGGCAACCUGCCUGUAAGACUGGGAUAACACCGGGAAACCGGUGCUAAUACCGGAUAAUUCUUUCCCUCACAUGAGGGAAAGCUGAAAGUCGGUUUCGGCUGACACUUACAGAUGGGCCCGCGGCGCAUUAGCUAGUUGGUGAGGUAACGGCUCACCAAGGCGACGAUGCGUAGCCGACCUGAGAGGGUGAUCGGCCACACUGGGACUGAGACACGGCCCAGACUCCUACGGGAGGCAGCAGUAGGGAAUCUUCCGCAAUGGACGAAAGUCUGACGGAGCAACGCCGCGUGAGUGAUGAAGGCCUUCGGGUCGUAAAACUCUGUUGUUAGGGAAGAACAAGUACCGGAGUAACUGCCGGUACCUUGACGGUACCUAACCAGAAAGCCACGGCUAACUACGUGCCAGCAGCCGCCGUAACAC
rnacentral:rRNA from 1 species